rnacentral:rRNA from 1 species
AACGAACGCUGGCGGCGUGCCUAACACAUGCAAGUCGAACGUGAAAGUCCUUCGGAUGAGUAAAGUGGCGCACGGGUGAGUAACACGUAGGUGACCUACCUUUUAGAGGGGAAGUAACCAGAUGAAAAUUUGGCUAAUGCCGCAUACGAAGUACAAAUAUAAUAGUAGUACUUGAAGAAUGCCUCUGUAUAUGCAUUCACUAUUAGAUGGGCCUGCGGGACAUUAGCUAGUUGGUGGGUAAUGGCUACCAAGGCAACGAUGUCUAUCCGGUCUGAGAGGAUGAUCGGACACACUGGAACUGAGACACGGUCCAGACUCCUACGGGAGGCAGCAGUGGGGAAUAUUGCGCAAUGGGGGAAACCCUGACGCAGCAACGCCGCGUGAGUGAGGAAGGACUUCGGUCUGUAAAGCUCUGUUAAUGUGGAAAAAUGGUCAGCGGUCUAAUAGGCCUUGAUUUGAUGGUACACAUAGAGGAAGC